UACGUAGGGUGCGAGCGUUAUUCGGAAUUACUGGGCGUAAAGCGUGCGCAGGCGGCUUGUUAAGACAGGUGUGAAAUCCCCGGGCUCAACCUGGGAAUGGCGCUUGUAGCUGGCAGGCUAGAGUGUGUCAGAGGGAGGUAGAAUUCCACGUGUAGCAGUGAAAUGCGUAGAGAUGUGGAGGAAUACCGAUGGCGAAGGCAGCCUCCUGGGAUAACACUGACGCUCAUGCACGAAAGCGUGGGGAGCAAACAGG
rnacentral:rRNA from 1 species